rnacentral:lncRNA from 8 species
UACUAUAGGGCUCUGUGGUACCAGCUACGUAGUAUAGGGCUCUGUUCUGUGGUACCAGCUACGUAGUAUAGGGCUCUGUGGUACCAGCUACGUAGUAUAGGGCUCUGUGGUACCAGCUACGUAGUAUAGGGCUCUGCUCUGUUGCUCGAUACCAAGUAUUCAUCUUUCUUUCAGUAUUCUAAUAUUUUCCAUUCCUCCUCCAGAGGCUGCUGUCCCCCUGGCUGUUUUUGCCCCCCUGGCUGCCCCCAUGGCUGGUCGGCUGAGAGGCCCAGGCAAACAGAGCUCCAUGGCCAUCUACAAAGACAGAUCUGAUGUCCAUAUCCCCGGGGACCCCUCUGAUCCUGGGAGAGCCAUGGUCAGAGGCAGCCUGCCCCUGGAGCUCAGAGGUAAGCGGCCCACAUCAUAGGACUCUGUGUUCAGUAGAUGUCUGGUAUGUUGAUAAGACCGUUCUAGAUGCUCAGAUAGGUAAACCAACGUUUUAAUGUGUUCCAAAUGGCAGACUAUUCCCUAUAUAGUGCACUACUUUAAACCAGGGCCCUAUGGCACCCUAUUCCCUAUAUAGUCCACUACUUUUGACCAGGGCCCAUUGGCACCCUAUUCCCUGAUAGUGCAGUACUUUUUGACCAGGGCCCAUUGGCACCCUAUUCCAUUCAUAGUACACUACUUUUGACCAGGGCCCUAUGGCACCCUAUUCCCUGUAUAGUGCAGUACUUUUGACCAGGGCCCAUUGGCACCCUAUUCUGGUCCAAAUUACUGCACAAUAUAGUGAAUAGGGUGCCAUUUCAGACGCAGCCUCUGUGUGUUUUUCAGAGUUGCAGCAGCAGACAGGCAGAUCCCUGGGCACCUUGAUCUUGGGUCCUGAUGGUGAGGUUAUACAGAUGUCCCCUUGGGACCCUAAUAAUAUGUCUGCCACUGAGGACCAGCCUGAAGACCAGGUCACAAGAGACCAUGGGGAAGCCAGUAAUCCUGAAAGACCCCAAACCAACAUGGACGAAUGUGAAUUAGUCCAAGAGGUGGGAUCUGAUGGACAAACGGUCGUGUCUGGUGAACAGAGACAGGAACCUGAAUCUCCCAGGAACAGAACUACACGGAAACAGCUGCACCCAGACGCUCAGAGACCCGGAGGACGACAUAAAGACAUGAUGGCUGCUCUGAGCUACAACCUCCGCAGCAGGACAGCACCAGUGGAGAUUCCAAGACAGGAGGAAGGGAAGGCGACACGGGAAGGAAAGGAGGUGAGGAGGGAGGAAGCUGAGGAGAAGUCUACGACAAGGAAGAGGAGGCAGGAUCUGGAUCAGACAGGUCCACAGACGAGUGGGGUAUCCUCCUUACCUACCACAGAAGAAGAAGAAGAAGAAGAGACCCAAAACAUCAACCCCCACAAACCUUCACAGCCAAUCCCCACAGGUCUCUCUACAGAACGGGCCCUCUCUCAGAAGAAAAAUCCCAAUCGCUCAGAGGGACCACUUACACCCAGUGGCAGGAAAAGAGGCCAUUCUAAGAAAACAAACGUGACAGUAGAUGAACAGAAUCCACAGCAGGUGGAGGGACAGACACAGGAAACAGGUGAACAAACCAUCAGAGAGAAGAAGAAGAAGGACACAUUGAAUAAAGAGGUGGAAUCACAGGACUCUCCCACUCUACAGAAAAUGACAAAGAGAAAAGUGAUUGAAGGACAAGAGCAGAACCAGGAAGUCUUCUCCAAGGAGGCGGGGAAGAAGAAGAAGGCCCGGGUCAAAGGAAAACCUAAAGAGAAGACGAACAAGACCAACGAGUCUGAGACGUCUCCAUCUGCGUUGGGUCCUGGUGGAGACGUGAAGAAGGACACUGAGGAGCGUAGCGUUGUCCAAUCCCCUAGAUCCAAUCACAGCUCUGUAAACAGGAGCUCCUCAUCCAAUGGGCAGUCAGGUCAGAGAUCACACAGAUCGACCUCCUGUGAGGACGAGGUUUUACCGUCCGGACAACGACGGUCCUCUCGUGACCAACUGUCAUCCUCCUCGGUUGUCGUGGCAGCGGAAACCCAACCGUUAAAUCUGGUCAUGUCUGACACCAGCAUCAGUACUGUGAGUAUGGAGGACAUAGUAUGCAUGGGGAAAUGA